rnacentral:rRNA from 1 species
CUUACACAUGCAGUCGAGCGGAGAUGAGGUGCUUGCACCUUAUCUUAGCGGCGGACGGGUGAGUAAUGCUUAGGAAUCUGCCUAUUAGUGGGGGACAACAUUCCGAAAGGAAUGCUAAUACCGCAUACGUCCUACGGGAGAAAGCAGGGGAUCUUCGGACCUUGCGCUAAUAGAUGAGCCUAAGUCGGAUUAGCUAGUUGGUGGGGUAAAGGCCUACCAAGGCGACGAUCUGUAGCGGGUCUGAGAGGAUGAUCCGCCACACUGGGACUGAAACACGGCCCAGACUCCUACGGGAGGCAACAUUGGGGAAUAUUGGACAAUGGGGGGACCCCUGAUCCAGCCAUGCCGCGUGUGUGAAUAAGGUUGAUGGUUGUUUUUCACUUUAGAUGAGGAUGACGCUACUGAGACUAAUACUCUUGGGUAAUGUACGUUGCUCGCAGACUAGGCACCGGCUGACUCAGUGACCGUUGCUGCGGAAUUACUGAGGCGUGCGAGCGCUCGUCGG